GGACCAGUGGGAGAAAAAGGAGCUCCAGGUCUUCCUGGAGAACAAGGGAUUGCUGGACCAACUGGAGCCAAAGGAGAAAAAGGAACCAACGGGGAACCAGGACCACCCGGGCCGAAAGGGGA